rnacentral:rRNA from 1 species
AGAGUUUGAUCAUGGCUCAGGAUGAACGCUAGCGGCAGGCUUAAUACAUGCAAGUCGAGGGGCAGCGCGGGUAGCAAUACCUGGCGGCGACCGGCAAACGGGUGCGGAACACGUACACAACCUUCCCUUGAGGCGGGGGAUAGCCCAGAGAAAUUUGGAUUAAUACCCCAUAAGAUAUUGUCCCGGCAUCGGGAAGAUAUUAAAGAUUUAUCACCUUAGGAUGGGUGUGCGUAUGAUUAGGUAGUUGGUGCGGGUAACGGCCCACCAAGCCAUCGAUCAUUAACUGGUGUGAGAGCACGACCAGUCACACGGGCACUGAGACACGGGCCCGACUCCUACGGGAGGCAGCAGUAAGGAAUAUUGGUCAAUGGACGGAAGUCUGAACCAGCCAUGCCGCGUGAAGGAUGACGGCCCUCUGGGUUGUAAACUUCUUUUAUCUGGGACGAAAAAGGGCCAUUCUUGGUCAACUGACGGUACCAGAGGAAUAAGCACCGGCUAACUCCGUGCCAGCAGCCGCGGUAAUACGGAGGGUGCAAGCGUUAUCCGGAUUUACUGGGUUUAAAGGGAGCGCAGGCGGAUUGGUAAGUCAGUGGUGAAAUACCCGUGCUUAACAUGGGAACUGCCAUUGAUACUAUCAGUCUUGAAUGUUGUUGAGGUUUGCGGAAUGGGUCAUGUAGCGGUGAAAUGCAUAGAUAUGACCCGGAACACCUAUUGCGAAGGCAGCAGGCUAAACAAAUAUUGACGCUGAGGCUCGAAAGCGUGGGGAUCAAACAGGAUUAGAUACCCUAGUAGUCC